GAACCCAUUUGCUUGUCUUCUUGGCCACCCACAGUACCCUCAGCACUCUUCUCCAGCACCACAUCUCCAAUAAGUUUAUUGUCUUUCUCUCAGCUUUCUUCACUGACAUCCAUACAUAGCGAUGGGGAGUACAGUAGCUUGGAUGAUCUUCCCUUUAGUGUAGCUUACAAAGUUUAAAAUAAAUACAGAUAAAUGCACACACAAAAACAUAACUAAAAACAUACAACGGUGUUAUUGUUAAAAUGUAGUCAAGCUACGGAUAGAAUUUAAAACAACUCCAUUUAAAAGACAACAGAUAAAACACCUUGAAAGGAAAAGAUAAAAUGCUGUGAAACGUCCUAGCAGCCAAUUUUUAAACGUCUGCUGCAACUGAAAAGUUUUCACUUGAUGAAGAAAGAGCAACUGGGAGGGAGCUAGUUUAGCCUCCUCUGAGAGGGACCUCUAGAGCCUAGGGGCAGCCACCAGAAAGGCUGUUCUCCAUGUGCCUAAUAGAUGUAUCUGUGAAGGUGAUAUGACCAAGCGAAGGGCCUCCCCCAAAGAUCUCAGAGGUAAGCUCAUACAGGAAGAUAUUUUCUUUCAAAUCACUUGGACCUAAGCCAUGCAGGCAUUCUGAAAAAGUGAUGAAUAGCUAGUUUGUUUUAUUAAUUUUUUUAUAAAAUAAAAACAACAAAUAAACACAUAAUUUUACUUAUCAGAGGGUUUCAUUCCACAUAAUUGGAGCAAAAUCCUCCAUUUUAAUUAUAGUAAUGUAACAUCCUCCUCCCCUCAAGUAACGCACACAUUACAUCAGAAUUUCAACAUUGAUUAUCCAUUUGUAGUGGUAACAUUUCCUAGGAUCAAUCAUCAGUAAGCUUUUGUUAACAGUCAGUUUACACAUAAAUAUUUUAUCACAAUAUGGAUUCCUGCUCUUAUUUCCAUCUUUCUUUACAAAAUUCAACUAUUCCCGACCAUUCAUUUCUCACCUUGUGUUUUAAACAUGCCGUCAAUUUGUCCAUUUCUAUCAUAUCUGUUAAUUUAAGUAACCAUUCAUUUAUUUUUGGUGUUUCUAAGCUUUUCCAAUACUGGGCUAUUGUCAAUUUUGCAGCAGUUAUUAAAUACAAAAGAACUCUCCAAUGCCUUCUUUCUAUAUUUGGGAAUAUCUUAUUUAACAUAUUCAACAGGUAUAUUUCUGGGUGCAUUUCAUAUUUAAUCUGUAGCAUCUUUUCUAUUAAAAAUGAACUUGGAUGAACAGUUGGUUUUGUUUGUUUCAGAGCUUGCCCCAAGAGCUGGAGUAGUUUUUAACUGAAUGCUUUCAAACCACCUUAAUGCUGUACAGUACAUAAACUUCAGUAUUCCACCUUAGUUCUGUUAACAUGUAAUCUUUUUCACAGGAAGCAAUAAGUUUUUGUAAUAGAAAAAUCCUACCUUGUCGAUUUCCUACCCAUCUUCCUAAUCUUUUCUGGCUCUGUCAGGGCUCCUCACCAGGUUGUCACCCCGUGACAUUUUAAUGUUUUAUAAACAGCAGUGUACAAAACUCCCUGGAGAAAUGUUGCUAAUCUUAUCAAAAUGGUUGUCUAGAAAUGCCUCCAAAUAUUUGCCUGAGCAGGGCCCUCUCUUUCAACUGACAAAUUAUUUGAGAAAACUUUGAGGAAGAACCAAACAUCAAGAGUGCCUGGGAUAUGCUACAGAAAUUUACUCUGUUGUGACAUGCAACUUCAGUGCUUGUCGUCUGGGUUGCAUGCUCACCACAUUCUCAUCUAGCUGACUUUGCAGAUCUGCUGUCCUGGAAGAAACUCUUCCCACAUUCAAAGGACCACAUAUUUAGAGAAUCUAAUACUGUCUUCAGCAGCACUCUUUGCAUCUUGCAGAAAAUGUCAGGCCUAGUGCCUUACUGACAUAUCAGAACAUAGCACCACUUUUGGUUUGAAUUUUUCUGCAAGUCAUCAGAAUUGUUUUGGUUUUAGAAAGUUGAUUAAAUCAUCACCACACUACUACUACCGCCAUCAUAAUUAUCUCCAGCUAUGUGAAAAAGCCAUACGGUAGCAUCUUUAAUGUAUCAGUUAGUGUCUAAUGUGCUACUUUAUGCCUUUUUAUGCUGAAACAGACUGAUAUGACUAUCUCUUUGAAUACUACUUAGAUAAGAAUUAAAUCCAUCUGAUUACUCUACAGUAUUGACUUCCUAGCUUUCUUUCAGUUUGUCAAUUUGUCUCAAUUUCUAAGGUCUCCCAAUAAUGUCAAAAAGGACUGGCACUUUUUUUAGAGCAGUUAAUCCGUGUUAUCAGCUAGGAGAAAGUUAUAAGCUUCUGGUUUACUUGUUUGUCAUCCUAAGAUUUUUUUUGCCAUUUCUUCUUUGUCAUCAUAUAACAAGACUCUUAAACAGCUGGGAGUGUAUCAAUGAGGUAUUGAAAGUAAUGCCUCCCAACAAGUCAGAAAGUAAGGAGAAAUGCCACAGUUAGAGGCUCACCGGUCAAACAUCCUGUCCAUCUUCCUCUUUUAGGAAAGCAGCAGAAAAAAACAGAAUCAAAGGCACCACUUUUAGCCUGAAAAAUAUGGUCCUUCCUUGAAGCAGGAGGGAUGAUGGAUUGCAUGUCAGUUAUUGGGCCACUGUGGGAGUUGGUGGUGUGGUCAGAGGGUUCUCUCCACGAACUGGGAAAACCUGGAGGACCAGAACAUUCUGAGACUAUCUUGAGGCUCCAAGUAAAAGAGACUGUUAUCUGAUCUGCAAAAGAAGUAUCCUGUUAUCAUGAGAUUUUUCAGCAGACAUUAGAAAACGUUUGACACACUAUGAUAGUGGAUAGUCAGCUCAAACAUUAAAUCCAUUUUAAAUAAUUUUAGCUGUUUGUUUUAAUAUGAAUGAAUGAAUGAAUCUUUAUUUAUUAGAAUAUUAGAAACUAUACGUUUCAGACAGAGACUGACAUAUAAUAGUUGAUAGCAUUGAUCACCAGUGCCCCAUUUUGUUUGUGUUCCUCCAAAGCACAUUAAGGAUUUUAAGUUUCCCUCCCUAACCUGGCACUUACCAGAUGUGUACAAAUUUCACAAUCUGAUUGAUGAUUGGGUGUGGUGGGAAAACACAUCUGGAAGGUGCCAGUUUGGAAGAAGGCUGUUAAAAACCAGUACAGUUAUGCUUUCGCCACUGAUAUGCUUCAUCUCUUCACAUUUUUGCAUCCCCACCCAGCCCCAAUAACACCUUUCAGAUACAAUGGCACCCUUCUGUGCCAUUUUAUGCGUAAAAGGGAAUGGCACAAACUUGCCUGUCAAAAUGUUUCUAAAAAUGCUCUUCUAAAAGUCACACAAAUACAUUGCUCAUUACCAGUGAACGUAAGGCACAUCAUAGUACUUCAGAAAUAGAACUCCAUCGUUUCCUUGUUACUGAAAAGACAACUCAUUACAGGUUACUGUGUUACUUCAACUUGUUGCUUCUGAUAUCUGGUUUUCAGUAAACUUGCCUAACAAUGCUUCAAAUACAGAUAGCAUGCCGAUACAGGAAAAGGAUGAAAUUGCAAGUCAUGUGUUUUGAAAUCUUAUCUAAGAAGUUCUGACAGAGUAAGCCCCAAAGAUCUAUAUUUAUCUCCAGGGGAAUAAAUGAUGAGACCUGACAUAAGUCAUAUACCGGACAUGUACUUUAACUCUGGAAGUGGUUUCUGAGGAGGAGAGUUAAGUAGGUUAACUACACCGGGAGAUGAUCAGUAACUGUUCCCCUGCUGGAUACUCCUUCUCACCCAAGCUGCUCCACCCUCCACAGAGUUUCAGAUAUCUGUUUAUUGUCACAAAUUUUCAUGUAUCUGGCCAUAAAGUUGCCACAUUUCUCAGAAUUCAGGUGUGCCACCUCAUACUCAUUUGUAUGAUUAGCUGUCAUGGAUUCAAUUCCUUCCUGAGUUUUUUUUUAAAAGCAAAUUUCUAAUUUUUGUCAGAGCUCAAGACAUGAAACAAAAUGUGCUGUGACUAUUUUGUUCAGUUGUUU